rnacentral:misc_RNA from 1 species
UGGAAAUGGCGCAGACAUCAAGUGGCUUCAGCAUCAUUAGCUCUGGUGCGAGCAAAUGCAAAAUGUCGUGUCAUGGGCAAAUGCAUGCAGCCUGUCAUCUAGCUGCAAGCCCAUACACAUUGAAUGGCCAAUUGUCGCCCACAAUAAGACGACAAGUAUCGAGAGUCUCUGUCUGCACCCACAAUGACAGCCUGCCGGUCAUCAAUAUGGACACGUAGCAGGGAGUGCAGAGCAAUUACUAUUCGAUUGAUCAGUCAUCAUCUUCGCCGCAGAAGCAGCAUACUGGACACCAUCGACGCCAACAACAACAACCAGGAUGUGCAGCAACAGGCAACAGCGAGUCAUCUUUGUGCGUAUAUUGAUGUAUUGUGACCAAAAGCAGUAAUCACGUCGAUUUAAAGCUAAUGAACAAUUGUGUUUGUACUCUCUUCUUCUUCUCAUUUUCACCAUGCGCAAUUGCGACAAGAGUGCGUUAGAUAAUAAGGAGGAGUGGAUUGCUACUGGAUUUUUGUCCGUUGUUUUUCAUGUGAUGGCUGCUCGACCGGUGGAGGGGGGACGAACACGAACAUCAGAGGCUGGCAUUCAAGGAGUGAUGCAGCAGAUCAGUGGCGACAUCCAGCGGGACAUCCAAGGAGUACAGGUAAGUAGUAGGAGUGGAUUCAUCAGCAUCAACUGGAAUUUUAAAAGUGAGACUGGCAGUGGAACCAGCCAUGUAAUCAGCAACAGCACUGGCACUUGGGUGGCCAGCACCAGCUGCUGCAUUGACUGCAGUUGCAUCCACAACUGCAAUGGAUAUGGACAUCGACAUCUUCAUCAGGGGCGUCUGGGGUGGUGGAAUCAGCGCAGCGCGUCAAUCGAGCUGGCACCAUUAGCAGACGUAUUGAUUGCAGCGGUGUAGGCCACAGGAUUAGCAUCAUCUGAUUCUUCCGCGUUGGAAUCAGAAUCAACAAUAAUGAUGACAUCAGCAUCACUGUUGGCAUCACAGUGAACAACGGCAUCCGAUACUGAGUCAGAACGGGCACCAGCAUGGACAUCUGUUGUGGUAGGAGCAGUGGCACCAUCUAUGCAACGAGAGGCGGCAUCAGGGCUGAAACCAGAGCUGUUGUCAUCACGGCUAACGCAAUGUCCCUAGAUUUUGCACUUGCAAUCGCACAAUCUCUAGAGAAGCCAACCGCGUUUCUUUGCGAGCGGAUUCUGGCCCAUAUUUGCUCUCUUCUUGCGUUCGCAACGAUGGAGCUUAGGUGAGUAUUGAUCAUUGAGGUAUAUCGCUGUCUCUGCAGACGCUGUGGCACAAAUGGCUCGGAGGCAAUUUGCCGUGCUGCCAAAUUUGAGUGGUUAAGAAGCCGGCGCACAUAAUUGGCACACAUCACUUCAUAUAUGGAAUCAACUGAGUUGACUUUUAGAUCAGAAUGGAGAUUGUCAUUACUGACGUACCAUGGCGCUCCCGCAAUGGAGCGGAGGAUCUUGUUUUGAGCGACCUGAAUGCGACUGAAACU